UGUGGUUUUGGUUUCAUUCUCCUGUUCUGUUUCAGCAAAGGGAUGAAGUGCUGGUUUGGAGAUGCAAGGGCUCAGCAGCACAAGGCUCAUAACCAGCCCUGGUUGCACAAACGCUCGCGGAGCCAGGCAAGCACCACCUCCAUUCAGAUUCUACACUCUGUUUUUCUUCUGAGUCUCAGUGGUGGAAAUAGCUGAAUCUGCCAUGAAAUAAUAAGGACUUUUGGUCUUUGUAGUGACUAUGAGCUUAUGGACUGUGGAAUUGUGUGAAGGACAGAACAGUCCCGACAAGAGAAAUGUGUUUAAGUGCACAACAUCACUCAAUUAUCCUUGUUUCUUCCACUCUAUAAAAAUCCAUUGAACCCAAUUUCCUGCAUGAAAACCUGACCAUUGGUGUGCCUGAAACUGCUCUCAGUAGCUUUGCCCCAGAUCUGCACAUCGUCUCCUGCACGAGUUCCUUCCUUAAAAUUACUCUGAUGGAUCCAAAGGAAGCAAAAAUCUGCUAAAAUGAACUUCUGUGCUGCUUUAACAUGUUUUUGAAAUAAUCCUGGGAACGACUGGGCAGGACCAACACAUGUGGAACUCUGGAUACCUUCCCCAAGAUUGCCUCUGAAGGAAGAUUUUCCUGAGCUCAUUCUCAGACACAGGAAUUGUUGCAGGGAUACUGAACAGGGGGAGCUGAACCAGAUUUCUGGGUGGAUAAUUCUGAAACAGCUGCUCCUGAAGGGUUCUCACGAUGGGGAAAUGUUCUGGAGGAAACUUCUCAGCAAUUGUUGAAAAAGCUGGCAAAACCAAUCAACAGAGGAGUAAAAGCUGUCAAGAAGGAUGUCCUUUCUUCCUCCCUCUCCAAAAAAUGCAUGAAGCUAGACCAGAUACAAUUAUAAAAUACAAUUCCCCCAGAGCCAGGGAAAUUACCCGACUGGCACAGUGUGUUGUAGGUUCUGAGUAAGGGCAGCACUGACACCUGGCAACAGCAGCCACUCUUUGCUUCAGUGACCUCCUAGGAACUUGAAGCACUGAAGAACCCCCUUCUCCUGAGACAGCUGGACUUCCUAAAGAGGUCAGUCUAUGGGGAAGGACUGUGCAUGACCUCUGCCAGAAGUGGGGUGACUCCUACCCCCCUGCUCCUUCCCAUCCCUCUGCGUUUUGUUCAUACCCAAACUUCACCUAAACUGGUUCACCCCCAUGCUGACAGAAGCUUUUCUGCUAAACUCCUGCUCACGCCCUGCACUUGGGAAGGGUGCAAGUCAGGCAGAGAGGCAGCACAGCCAGACCCUGCUCAUCCCUCAGCUCCCUUCCCCGGCACAGAGAGCACGGCCAGUGUCAGCUGAAACGCGCAAUUAGUGCCCCUCUAGCACGAGCAGCUCAAACUGUAACAUCAUGCCAGCCGUGAUUAAGAGUGAUACAGCACAUCAUCAUUGUCAACACUAUUCAACCAAUGUAAACCUUAGUUAGAAAUGUACUUGUCAGAGAAAAAUGCGCCUUUGAUUUCUAUUACACUUUCCCCAGUAAUUGCUGUCAUCAGUGGCAGGUUAUUAUUACAGUUGAAUAGAGUUUCAGUAAUUACUUUUGCACAGAUUCUAACAGCUUUUAGAUUGAAUGAUAUUCUGACAGUUUGAAUACUCUUGACAACAAUUACCUUUUUCCUGGUUAACACUGAUUCAGGAAAAUUAAAAAUUAAAUCUGUUCAGAGGAAACACUUAUGUAUGGCACUAGUAAGUGGGCUGAUACAAAAAUGUGUAAAUUACAGAAUGACUUAGAAUAAAAAGUUCUUUUGCUCUUC